CAUAGACGCGAAACCUAGUGAUCUAGGCCUGUCCAGGCUGAAGCUGAGGUAAGACUCAGUGGAGGGCCGAACUCACCGCCGUUGAAAAGUUGGGAGAUGAGAUAGGUCUAGGGGUGAAAAGCCAAUCGAACUAGGAGAUAGCUCGUUCUCUCCGAAAUGCAUUUAGGUGCAGCCUUGGCAUGAAGAUAUGCGGGGGUAGAGCUCUGUAUGGUCUAGGGGGCGUACUGCUUACCGAAAUCAAGCAAACUGCGAAUACCGCAUAUUAAUAGCCAGGAGUGAGUCCGUGGAUGACAAGGUCCGCGGACGAGAGGGGAACAGCCCAGACCGCCAGCUAAGGUCCCUAAUUAUGUCUAAGUGGGAAAGGAGGUGGAUAUUCACAGACAACCAGGAGGUUGGCUUAGAAGCAGCCAUGCCUUGAAAGAGUGCGUAAUAGCUCACUGGUCGAGAGUAUCUGCGCCGAAGAUGUAACGGGGCUAAGACAUAAACCGAAGCUGCGGAGGCGUGCUUGCACGCCUGGUAGGAGAGCGUUCUGUAGGCCGUUGAAGGAAUGCCGCAAGGCCAUUCUAGAGGUAUCAGAAGUGAGAAUGCAGGAAUGAGUAGCGAGAAGGCGGGCGAGAAUCCCGCCGGCCGGAAGUCCAAGGUUUCCAGGGGAAGGCUUGUCCGCCCUGGGGAAGUCGGGACCUAAGCAUAAGCAAAAUUGUGACGGCGAAUGGAAAACAGGUUAAUAUUCCUGUACCGCUGUUAUCGCUUGAGAGACGGAGUGACGCAGGAAGGUAUGCGAGAAGGCUGACGGUUUAGCCUUUCUAAGGGCCCAGCGUGGGCGUGCAGGUAAAUCCGCACGCCUAAACGUGAGACCUGACGGGGAAGUGCAUUUGCAUAAGUCGCAGAUCCUACACUGCCAGGAAAAACUUCUAUCGAUGAGAAGCAGCGCCCGUACUGUAAACCGACACAGGUGGACAGAGUGAGAAACUUAAGGCCGACAGGAUAACUCUAGCUAAGGAACUCUGCAAAAUAGCCCCGUAACUUCGGGAGAAGGGGUGCCUGACAUACCUGAAGAGAGAGACGCUCCCAGGGGAAACAGGCCGCAGUGAAGAGUCUCAAGCAACUGUUUACCAAAAACACAGGUCUAUGCUAAGCUGAAAGGCGACGUAUAUGGGCUGACACCUGCCCAGUGCCGGAAGGUUAAGAGGAGGAGUGAGAGCUCCGAUUUGAAGCCCCGGUGAACGGCGGCCGUAACUAUAACGGUCCUAAGGUAGCGAAAUUCCUUGUCGGGUAAGUUCCGACCUGCACGAAUGGUGAAAUGAUUUGAGAGCUGUCUUGGCUGGAGACCUGGUGAAGUUGUAAUGCCGGUGAAGAUACCGGCUACCUGCAGUAGGACGGAAAGACCCCGUGGAGCUUUACUGUAGUUUGGCAUUGGGUUCUGGCCGCAUGUGUAUAGGAUAGUUGGGAGACUGUGAAGCCAAGGCGUCAGUCUUGGCAGAGUCGCCGUUGGAAUACCAACCAUAUGCCGUCGGAAUUCUAAUCUGGAAACGGAGACAGUGCUAGAUGGGCAGUUUGACUGGGGCGGUCGCCUCCCAAAGAGUAACGGAGGCGUUCAAAGGUUCCCUCAGGCUGGAUGGAAAUCAGCCUAAGAGUGCAAACGCAUAAGGGAGCUUGACUGCAAGACUGACGGGUCGAGCAGGCACGAAAGUGGGAGUUAGUGAUCCGGCGGUUCCGAAUGGAAGGACCGUCGCUCAACGGAUAAAAGCUACCCCGGGGAUAACAGGCUGAUACUUCCCAAGAGUCCAUAUCGACGGAAGUGUUUGGCACCUCGAUGUCGGCUCGUCUCAUCCUGGGGCUGGAGAAGGUCCCAAGGGUUGGGCUGUUCGCCCAUUAAAGAGGCACGCGAGCUGGGUUCAGAACGUCGUGAGACAGUUCGGUCCCUAUCCA
rnacentral:rRNA from 1 species